ACGGGUGCGUAACACGUGGAUAACAUUCCGGGAAGCGGGGGAUAGCCCAGGGAAACUUGGAUUAAUACCGCAUGUGGUCGAAAGACUAAAGGUGGGGACCGCAAGGCCUGCCACUUCCCGAUUGGUCCGCGGCCUAUCAGCUUGUUGGUGAGGUAAUGGCUCACCAAGGCUACGACGGGUAGCUGGUCUUAGAGGACGACCAGCCACACUGGAACUGAGACACGGUCCAGACACCUACGGGUGGCAGCAGUCGAGAAUCUUUCACAAUGGGGGCAACCCUGAUGGAGCGACGCCGCGUGGAGGAUAAGGUCUUCGGAUUGUAAACUCCUGUCAUGCGAGAACAAGGUACUCAGGCUAAUAACCUGAUUGUUUGAUGGUACCGCAAGAGGAAGAGACGGCUAACUCUGUGCCAGCAGCCGCGGUAAUACAGAGGUCUCAAGCGUUGUUCGGAAUCACUGGGCGUAAAGGGUGCGUAGGCUGCGCCGUAAGUCAGAUGUGAAAGCUCAGGGCUCAACCCUGAAAUUGCAUCCGAUACUGCGGUGCUUGAGAAAUGAAGAGGAGUCUAGAAUUUUCGGUGU
rnacentral:rRNA from 1 species